rnacentral:rRNA from 1 species
UACGGAGGGUGCAAGCGUUAUCCGGAUUCACUGGGCUUAAAGGGUGCGUAGGCGGGCAGGUAAGUCCGUGGUGAAAUCUCCGGGCUUAACCCGGAAACUGCCGUUGAUACUAUCUGUCUUGAAUAUCGUGGAGGUAAGCGGAAUAUGUCAUGUAGCGGUGAAAUGCUUAGAUAUGACAUAGAACACCCAUUGCGAAGGCAGCUUACUACACGAUCAUUGACGCUGAGGCACGAAAGCGUGGGGAGCAAACAGG